GACGAACGCUGGCGGCAUGCCUAAUACAUGCAAGUUGAACGAUGAUAUUCUCUGCUUGCAGAGAAUUGAAGAGUAGCGAACGGGUGAGUAACACGUGGGGAACCUGCCCAUGAGAGGGGGAUAACAUUCGGAAACGGAUGCUAAUACCGCAUAAUGCUUUGGACCGCCUGGUCCAGAGACGAAAGACGGCUUUUGCUGUCACUCAUGGAUGGCCCCGCGCCGUAUUAGCUAGUUGGUGAGGUAAUGGCUCACCAAAGCUGUGAUACGUAGCCGACCUGAGAGGGUGAUCGGCCAAACUGGGACUGAGACACGGCCCAGACUCCUACGGGAGGCAGCAGUAGGGAAUCUUCCACAAUGGGCGAAAGCCUGAUGGAGCAAUGCCGCGUGAAUGAAGAAGGUCUUCGGGUCGUAAAGUUCUGUUAUUAGAGAAGAACAAGUCAAGGAGUAACUGUCUUGACUUUGACGGUACCUAACCAGAAAGUCACGGCUAACUACGUG
rnacentral:rRNA from 1 species